rnacentral:rRNA from 1 species
GACGUACGCUGGCGGCGUGCUUAACACAUGCAAGUCGAGCGAGUGGACUCCCUUCGGGGAUGAAGCUAGCGGCGGACGGGUGAGUAACACGUGGGCAACCUGCCUUAUAGAGGGGGAUAGCCUUCCGAAAGGAAGAUUAAUACCGCAUAACAUCAGAUUAUCGCAUGGUAGACUGAUCAAAGGAGCAAUCCGCUAUAAGAUGGGCCCGCGUCGCAUUAGCUAGUUGGUGAGGUAACGGCUCACCAAGGCGACGAUGCGUAGCCGACCUGAGAAGGGGAUCGGCAAGAUGGGGACUGAGACACGGCCCAGACGCCUAUGGGAGGCAGCAGUGGGGAAUAUUGCACAAUGGGGGAAACCCUGAUGCAGCAACGCCGCGUGAGUGAUGAAGGCCUUCGGGUUGUAAAGCUCUUUGAUCAGGGACGAUAGUGACGGUACCUGAAGAACAAGCCACGGCUAACUACGUGCCAGCAGCCGCCGUAACAC